GAUGAACGCUGGCGGCGUGCCUAAUACAUGCAAGUCGAGCGAACGGACGAGAAGCUUGCUUCUCUGAUGUUAGCGGCGGACGGGUGAGUAACACGUGGAUAACCUACCUAUAAGACUGGGAUAACUUCGGGAAACCGGAGCUAAUACCGGAUGAUAUUUUGAACCGCAUGGUUCAAAAGUGAAAGACGGUCUUGCUGUCACUUAUAGAUGGAUCCGCGCUGCAUUAGCUAGUUGGUAAGGUAACGGCUUACCAAGGCAACGAUGCAUAGCCGACCUGAGAGGGUGAUCGGCCACACUGGAACUGAGACACGGUCCAGACUCCUACGGGAGGCAGCGUAGGGAAUCUUCCGCAAUGGGCGAAAGCCUGACGGAGCAACGCCGCGUGAGUGAUGAAGGUCUUCGGAUCGUAAAACUCUGUUAUUAGGGAAGAACAUAUGUGUAAGUAACUGUGCACAUCUUGACGGUACCUAAUCAGAAAGCCACGGCUAACUACGUGC
rnacentral:rRNA from 1 species